rnacentral:rRNA from 1 species
AGAGUUUGAUCCUGGCUCAGAGCGAACGCUGGCGGCAGGCCUAAUACAUGCAAGUCGAACGGAUCCUUCGGGAUUAGUGGCGGACGGGUGAGUAACACGUGGGAACGUGCCCUUUGGUUCGGAACAACUCAGGGAAACUUGAGCUAAUACCGAAUGUGCCCUUCGGGGGAAAGAUUUAUCGCCAUUGGAGCGGCCCGCGUCUGAUUAGCUAGUUGGUGAGGUAAAGGCUCACCAAGGCUACGAUCAGUAGCUGGUCUGAGAGGAUGAUCAGCCACACUGGGACUGAGACACGGCCCAGACUCCUACGGGAGGCAGCAGUAGGGAAUCUUGCGCAAUGGGCGAAAGCCUGACGCAGCCAUGCCGCGUGAAUGAUGAAGGUCUUAGGAUUGUAAAAUUCUUUCAGCGGGACGAUAAUGACGGUACCCGCAGAAGAAGCCCCGGCUAACUUCGUGCCAGCAGCCGCGGUAAUACGAAGGGGGCUAGCGUUGCUCGGAAUUACUGGGCGUAAAGGGAGCGUAGGCGGAUGUUUAAGUCAGAGGUGAAAGCCCAGGGGCUCAACCUUGGAACUGCCUUUGAUACUGGACAUCUUGAGUAUGGGAGAGGUGAGUGGAACUCCGAGUGUAGAGGUGAAAUUCGUAGAUAUUCGGAAGAACACCAGUGGCGAAGGCGACUCACUGGCCCAUUACUGACGCUGAGGCUCGAAAAGCGUGGGGAGCAAACAGGAUUAG